CCAGAGGAUAACUGCUGAAGUGAUGGUGGAUUGCGGCAGAAGGACAUUCAGUCUUUUUGUCACAUGACCCAGGAGGCAUUCAUCAAUAGUCCUAAUAUUCAAGUAGGAUCUUAACCAAACUAAUCCCACCGAUUGAAUUGGCACUUGAAGAGGUUUUAUUGUACAAAAACCAGCCUUAUCUCUUUCAACAAUGGACGAGAAGACGCUAAUAUUAAAAAUAUAUCUUACUCUUGAUCACUGCGGCUAUACAUGGUUAACAGAUAUAGUUUCAUGAUCAUAAAUAAUCUCUGGUAGAAAAUAUGGUAGUAUGUCUUGUUAAACAUUUGUAAAAACUCUCCAAACAUUCUACGAAAUGGCUGAACUUUAGUUUCAUCAUUAUUAAAUUGAUUAAAUCCCCUCUCCCAACAUGCCUCAAACCUCAUGCCUCCGAUUAGUCCCAAUCACGUGAUUUAUCAAAUAUCUCUUUUACAACGGCUCUUUCUGCCAUGUCUAAUUGUUUACAUGUUAACACUUUAAAGUAAUUAUUAAGGAUCAAUUGAAAUCCGGGGGACUUCACUGAGCAAUCAAUGUGAAUUCAAAUGAAGAAAUCAAUGGGGUUUGGGUGCAAGUUGGUUCCAAAUGAUGUUCUAGAAAUUGGCCCUGCAAUGCCCUGUAUAAAGGUCUUGGGGCCGGGGGCCUCUAUGACCUGCUCUGUCUGAACAAUAGCAGCUGUACUUAAACUACGCACAACAGAAAAGCAAGAUUAUAACCAACUGAUAACUUGUUCUUUCAGUACAACCUGCAGCUAUUCAUGUAAUAAGCUUUGUUGUCUUUUGGUAAUCAGUUGGAAAACAAUCAUCGAUCACAAUAUUGAUAUUGUGUUAUAUGUAUGUUUUAUGUGUAUGUUGCUAGGAAUGUGGAUUAUACACAGGGAAAAUAAAAACAUUGAAGAUGCUUAAACACAGUUUUCAGUUUUAUUCCAGACAGUUGGUGUCAUUUGGUCAUGCACAUUACAUUGACCGUUACAACAAUGCAAUAUAACAAAUGCAAUGAUUGGAUUUCAAGCUCUACCAUUUAUGAAAAUAAAUAGAAGAGUAUAAUAUGAACAAAUAUAUACUUGUUUGCAAAUGUGUCUUAACAUCUUGAAUAGAGCUAUAUAUAAAGUAUUUUGAAUAUGUUUCAAGAACAGUG
ensembl:lncRNA